ensembl:misc_RNA 7SK 7SK RNA
GGAUGUGAGGGUGAUCUGGCUGCGACAUCUGUCACCCCAGUGAUCGCCAGGGUUGAUUUGGCUGAUCUGGCUGGCUAGGCGGGUGUCCCCUUCCUCCCUCACAGCUCCAUGUGCGUCCCUCCCGAAGCUGUACACUCGGUCGAAGAGGACGGCCUUCCCCGAAUAGAGACGGACCGGUCUUCGGUCGAGGGUGUAUGAGUAGCUGCACUCCCCUGCUACAACCUCCAAACAAGCUCUCAAGAAUAGGAAAGCUGUCAGGGGGAAUGAUGGGAUACAGAAUUCUGGUGGUGGGAACUGUGUGGAGUUGUGCCCCUCUUAUC